CAGUCCUUGUCGCCAAGGUUCCUGACCGGCUUCCGCUGCCGCGGCUUCCUGCGUGCCGCCUCCGUGGCCCCGCCCCGGCCGCGCCACCGGCGCUGUCACUGCAGUCCUUGUCGCUGCCGGUAGCCUGUCGCUUGUCUCCGUAGCCGCCGCCGCCGCCGCCACCGCCCAGGCCUUCGCAGCCGCCUUCAGAGCGUCCAUCAUAAUUCUUCAACUGGAAGAUAUCAAUGGAGAUAUUGGAGAGGAAUGGGACAAGAGAAGGAGGAGAUCAUGGCAGGAAGAAGAGAAAAGUGGAAGUAGAUAAGGGAGAGAAAAAGGGUGAAAUCAUUUUUCAUCUGUACAUCACAGCUGGUCUCAAGAUGUUUUCCUUCAAGAUGAUAGGAAAUGUCUGAUGGAAAGAAGACAGGAUUAUAGAAUUUCUGGAACUUUGAGCAUAAAAUUUGGCCAGGAUGAGAUGACGAGAGACUGGCUACAGUAGCAGCAGCAGCAAAGUUUGCUAAAGAAGUCAUACAAGA